ensembl:rRNA 5S_rRNA 5S ribosomal RNA
AUCUAUGACCAUACCACCCUGAACGCACCCAAUCUCGCCUGGUCUCGGAAGCUAAGCAGGGUCGGGCCUGGUUAGUACUUGGGAGAAGAAAGGGAGAAGCGCCCUUUCAUUUUAAACA